rnacentral:rRNA from 1 species
ACGGCAUGGACUACGAGGGUAUCUAAUCCUCUUCGCUACCCAUGCUUUCGCUCCUCAGUGUCAGUAGUGACCCAGUAAGUUGCCUUCGCAUUUGGUGUUCUUUCUAAUAUCUACGAAUUUCACCUCUACACUAGAAAUUCCACUUACCUCUAUCACACUCUAGCUAAAAAGUUUUGAAGGCAGUUCCAAGGUUGAGCCUUGGGAUUUCACCAUCAACUUUUUUAACCACCUACGAGCUCUUUAAGCCCAGUAAUUCCGAACUACGCUAGGUCCCUUCGUAUUACCGCGGCUGCUGGCACGAAGUUAGCCGGACCUUCUUAUUCGGGUACAGUCAUUUUCUUCCCCGACGAAAGAGUUUUACAACCCAAGGGCCUUCUUCACUCACGCGGCAUCGCUGCAUCGGGGUUUCCCCCAUUGUG